GCGUUCUGUAAGCCUGUGAAGGUGUGUCGUGAGGCAUGCUGGAGGUAUCAGAAGUGCGAAUGCUGACAUAAGUAACGAUAAAGCGGGUGAAAAGCCCGCUCGCCGGAAGACCAAGGGUUCCUGUCCAACGUUAAUCGGGGCAGGGUGAGUCGACCCCUAAGGCGAGGCCGAAAGGCGUAGUCGAUGGGAAACGGGUUAAUAUUCCCGUACUUGGUGUUACUGCGAAGGGGGGACGGAGAAGGCUAUGUUGGCCGGGCGACGGUUGUCCCGGUUUAAGCGUGUAGGUGUGUGUUCCAGGUAAAUCCGGUU
rnacentral:rRNA from 1 species